rnacentral:rRNA from 1 species
AUGGCGGAGAUUGUGAUCCUUCUAGCCAUUAAAAAGAUUGGAAUUGCCUUGGCAAAAGGAGCGGCAGACCAGGCCAGUGUGCAGUUAGCAAAGUUCGGGGCACAACUACUGGAGCUACAGGGUAGCAUUGGUCGUGUUGCCAGGGAGCUUCGGGUAAUGCAUGAUGUUCUAUGUGAAAUGGACAUUCGAAACCGCAGCAAUCAAGUAUAUGAGGGCUGGUUAGAGGAGGUACGCAAAGUAGCACAUGUGAUGGAGGAUAUGGUGGAUGAGUACUUGUAUCUAGUUGGUCGAGAACAUGAUAUAGGUUGUUGUUUCUUCCUGAAGAAAGGGUUCAAAAAGCCAAGAUCACUGCUUUGUUUGAAUCAGAUAGCUCUCGGAGUGAAGGAACUGGAGAAAGACCUUUCACACCUAUCAGAGACAAAAAACCGUUGGGUUCCCAUGAUAAAUAACGGGGAUUCUAGCAACCUCAGUUACAUUGUCAAGAGAUCCCAAGAGCUAGCAAACAUUUCACGCUUAAUUGAUGAAGAAGAUCUAGUGGGGGUGGAUAAAAACAGAGAAAAACUCGAGCAAUGGUUGGGGGGUGAUGAUCAGAAAUGCUCUGUGAUAGCUCUGCUCGGAAUGGGAGGUCUUGGUAAAACUGCUUUAGCUGCAAAUGUCUACAAGAGGGAGAGGGAGAAAUUCCAGUGCUACGCCUGGGUCUCCAUCUCUCAAACUUAUUCUAGAGAAGAUGUCUUGAGAAAUAUGAUCAAAGAACUUUUUAAAGACAAUGCUAGUGCUCUAUGUAACACUCUGUCCAUGGACAUCAUGAGCCUUGAAGAGACACUAAAGAAAUAUCUGGAGCAAAGAAAGUACUUGAUCAUAUUGGAUGAUGUUUGGGAUCCGGAAGCAUUUCAUGAUUUGUCAAGGAUGCUUACUCAUAAUGAUAAGGGCAGUAGAGUGAUACUUACAACAAGGGAAGCCAGCAUUGCCGCACUUGCCUCUCAAGGACAUAGCUUAACAUUGAAAGCUUUACCAGAAGACAAGGUGUGGGAUCUCUUUUGUAAGAAAGUCUUUCCAGGAGAUACAAAUCAUGAAUGUCCUACAGAAUUGAAGCCAUCGUCCAAGGAAAUAGUUAGCAAGUGCAAAGGCCUGCCUCUUGCUAUUGUGUCAGUUGGUAGCCUAUUGCGUGUGCGUGAGAAAACUGUGGAAGAAUGGAGAAGAAUAAAUGACCAACUGGGCUGGGAGAUAAUUAACAAUUCAAGGCUGGACGACAUAAGAAAUGUUUUGCAUCUGAGCUUCAUCUACCUCCCAACAUACUUAAAAAGUUGUUUCCUAUACUGCAGGUUAUUUCCAGAAGACCACCAUUUUAAAAGGAAACAACUUGUACGAUUAUGGAUAGCAGAGGGGUUCAUUGAGGAGAGGGGUGAAAGCACACUAGAAGAAGUGGCAGAAGGCUAUCUGAAGGAGUUGACUGACAGAAACAUGCUACAACUUGUUGAGAGGAACCACUUUGGUAGGAUGAAGAAAUUCAGAAUGCACGAUCUCGUACGUGAACUGGCAGUUGAUUUGUGCAAGAAGAACUGCUUUGGUGUUAGUUAUGAGGAUGAGUGUGGGGGCCUGGGGGGUCUCUUGAGAUGGAUGGACGUCGGUUGGUGCUUCACAAACUAA